UACGUAGGGGGGCAAGCGUUGUCCGGAAUCAUUGGGCGUAAAGCGCGCGUAGGCGGCCCUGUAAGUCCGUUGUGAAAGUCGAAGGCUCAACCUUCGAAAGCCGAUGGAUACUGCAGGGCUAGAGUCCGGAAGAGGCGAGUGGAAUUCCUGGUGUAGCGGUGGAAUGCGCAGAUAUCAGGAGGAACACCAGGUAGGCGAAGGCGGUCUCUGGGCCGUUACCUGACGC
rnacentral:rRNA from 1 species